rnacentral:rRNA from 1 species
UACGAGGGGAGCAAGCGUUUGUUCGGAUUUACUGGGCGUAAAGCGCGUGUAGGCGGCCCGGUAAGUCCGCUGUGAAAGUCGGGGGCUCAACCCUCGGAUGCCGGUGGAUACUGUCGGGCUAGAGUGCGGGAGAGGCGAGUGGAAUUCCUGGUGUAGCGGUGAAAUGCGCAGAUAUCAGGAGGAACACCAAUUGCGAAGGCAGCUCGCUGGAACGUUACUGACGCUGAGACGCGAAAGCGUGGGGAGCAAACAGG